ACGGGAGGCUGCAGUAGGGAAUCUUCCACAAUGGGCGAAAGCCUGAUGGAGCAACGCCGCGUGUGUGAUGAAGGCUUUCGGGUCGUAAAGCACUGUUGUAUGGGAAGAACAGCUAGAAUAGGAAAUGAUUUUAGUUUGACGGUACCAUACCAGAAAGGGACGGCUAAAUACGUGCCAGCAGCCGCGGUAAUACGUAUGUCCCGAGCGUUAUCCGGAUUUAUUGGGCGUAAAGCGAGCGCAGACGGUUUAUUAAGUCUGAUGUGAAAGCCCGGAGCUCAACUCCGGAAUGGCAUUGGAAACUGGUUAACUUGAGUGCAGUAGAGGUAAGUGGAACUCCAUGUGUAGCGGUGGAAUGCGUAGAUAUAUGGAAGAACACCAGUGGCGAAGGCGGCUUACUGGACUGCAACUGACGUUGAGGCUCGAAAGUGUGGGUAGCAAACAGGAUUAGAUACCCUGGUAGUCCACACCGUAAACGAUGAACACUAGGUGUUAGGAGGUUUCCGCCUCUUAGUGCCGAAGCUAACGCAUUAAGUGUUCCGCCUGGGGAGUACGACCGCAAGGUUGAAACUCAAAGGAAUUGACGGGGACCCGCACAAGCGGUGGAGCAUGUGGUUUAAUUCGAAGCAACGCGAAGAACCUUACCAGGUCUUGACAUCCUUUGAAGCUUUUAGAGAUAGAAGUGUUCUCUUCGGAGACAAAGUGACAGGUGGUGCAUGGUCGUCGUCAGCUCGUGUCGUGAGAUGUUGGGUUAAGUCCCGCAACGAGCGCAACCCUUAUUGUUAGUUGCCAGCAUUCAGAUGGGCACUCUAGCGAGACUGCCGGUGACAAACCGGAGGAAGGCGGGGACGACGUCAGAUCAUCAUGCCCCUUAUGACCUGGGCUACACACGUGCUACAAUGGCGUAUACAACGAGUUGCCAACCCGCGAGGGUGAGCUAAUCUCUUAAAGUACGUCUCAGUUCGGAUUGUAGUCUGCAACUCGACUACAUGAAGUCGGAAUCGCUAGUAAUCGCGGAUCAGCACGCCGCGGUGAAUACGUUCCCGGGUCUUGUACACACCGCCCGUCACACCAUGGGAGUUUGUAAUGCCCAAAGCCGGUGGCCU
rnacentral:rRNA from 1 species